GGGGGCGUAGCUCAGUUGGCUAGAGCGCCUGAAUGGCAUUCAGGAGGUCGUGGGUUCGAUUCCCGUCGCCUCCA
rfam:Spirochaetes bacterium RBG_16_67_19 RBG_16_scaffold_66269, whole genome shotgun sequence.